rnacentral:tRNA from 1 species
GCGCCUAUAGCUCAACUGGAUAGAGCGCAGCCCUCCGGAGGCUGAGGUUACUGGUUCGACCCCAGUUAGGCGCA